GUUAUAUGGUCAAGUGAAGAAGCGCAUACGGUGGAUGCCUUGGCAGUCAGAGGCGAUGAAAGACGUGGUAGCCUGCGAAAAGCUUCGGGGAGUCGGCAAACAGACUUUGAUCCGGAGAUGUCUGAAUGGGGGAACCCAGCCAUCAUAAGAUGGUUAUCUUGUACUGAAUACAUAGGUGCAAGAAGCGAACCAGGGGAACUGAAACAUCUAAGUACCCUGAGGAAAAGAAAUCAACCGAGAUUCCCUUAGUAGUGGCGAGCGAACGGGGACUAGCCCUUAAGUGGCUUUGAGAUUAGCGGAACGCUCUGGAAAGUGCGGCCAUAGUGGGUGAUAGCCCUGUACGCGAAAAUCUCUUAGUCAUGAAAUCGAGUAGGACGGAGCACGAGAAACUUUGUCUGAAUAUGGGGGGACCAUCCUCCAAGGCUAAAUACUACUGACUGACCGAUAGUGAACUAGUACCGUGAGGGAAAGGCGAAAAGAACCCCGGAGAGGGGAGUGAAAUAGAUCCUGAAACCGUAUGCGUACAAGCAGUGGGAGCAGACUUUGUUCUGUGACUGCGUACCUUUUGUAUAAUGGGUCAGCGACUUAUUUUCAGUGGCGAGCUUAACCGAAUAGGGGAGGCGUAGCGAAAGCGAGUCUUAAUAGGGCGUCUAGUCGCUGGGAAUAGACCCGAAACCGGGCGAUCUAUCCAUGGGCAGGUUGAAGGUUGGGUAACACUAACUGGAGGACCGAACCGACUACCGUUGAAAAGUUAGCGGAUGACCUGUGGAUCGGAGUGAAAGGCUAAUCAAGCUCGGAGAUAGCUGGUUCUCCUCGAAAGCUAUUUAGGUAGCGCCUCAUGUAUCACUGUAGGGGGUAGAGCACUGUUUCGGCUAGGGGGUCAUCCCGACUUACCAAACCGAUGCAAACUCCGAAUACCUACAAGUGCCGAGCAUGGGAGACACACGGCGGGUGCUAACGUCCGUCGUGAAAAGGGAAACAACCCAGACCGUCAGCUAAGGUCCCAAAGUUAUGGUUAAGUGGGAAACGAUGUGGGAAGGCUUAGACAGCUAGGAGGUUGGCUUAGAAGCAGCCACCCUUUAAAGAAAGCGUAAUAGCUCACUAGUCGAGUCGGCCUGCGCGGAAGAUGUAACGGGGCUCAAACCAUACACCGAAGCUACGGGUAUCACGUAAGUGAUGCGGUAGAGGAGCGUUCUGUAAGCCUGUGAAGGUGAGUUGAGAAGCUUGCUGGAGGUAUCAGAAGUGCGAAUGCUGACAUGAGUAACGACAAUGGGUGUGAAAAAC
rnacentral:rRNA from 1 species